CCUACGGGCGGCAGCAGUGAGGAAUAUUGGUCAAUGGACGAGAGUCUGAACCAGCCAAGUAGCGUGAAGGAUGACUGCCCUAUGGGUUGUAAACUUCUUUUAUAAAGGAAUAAAACGAGGCACGUGUGCCUUUUUGCAUGUACUUUAUGAAUAAGGAUCGGCUAACUCCGUGCCAGCAGCCGCGGUAAUACGGAGGAUCCGAGCGUUAUCCGGAUUUAUUGGGUUUAAAGGGAGCGUAGAUGGGUUGUUAAGUCAGUUGUGAAAGUUUGCGGCUCAACCGUAAAAUUGCAAUUGAUACUGGCAGUCUAGAGUACAGUUGAGGUAGGCGGAAUUCGUGGUGUAGCGGUGAAAUGCUUAGAUAUCACGAAGAACCCCGAUUGCGAAGGCAGCUUACUAAACUGUGACUGACAUUGAUGCUCGAAAGUGUGGGUAUCAAACAGGAUUAGAUACCCGUGUAGUC
rnacentral:rRNA from 1 species